CUUUUAGGCAGAGGACCACUCUGACAGUCCUGCUUAUUUCUGAAGACCAUCCUCUGUCUCCUGGAUUGCGGCCAUAGCACCUAACCUAACCCCUCACCACCCUACGAUCCAUGCUCCCUCCUGCGCCCAGGAGGACUACCUUAAAGCAGAGAUGAGCACACUUUUUUCUGUAGUGGGCCAGACAGUAAGUAUUUUAGCUUUUUCAGGACAAGAGGCGAAAUCAAGGACAUUAUGUAGGCACUUUUAUAGCAAGAGAGAAGACAAAUUUUCCCAAAAUUUUUACUUACGGAAUUCAAAACAUAAUAAUUGAACAUAAUUUUCUUAUAAUACAGGUAUACUAAUGAAAAUAAAGUAAUUAUUUGGGAAGGGAUAAUAUUUUCUUGACUGGGAUUCAAGUUAGUGUUCUCUAUCAUCAAAACUGAAUGCAAAUGUUCAUUUGUUAAAGUUGAGCUGAAACGGAAUUUUACAUGUUUCAUCUUUGAAAUGUCUUUUCACAGAAAUUGAUACUGAAAUGAACACCCAAUGAAUUACACAUAUUGAAGCUUAAAGGUUAUUUAAAGGUCCCAUAGAUUUUUCUUUUAAUAUUCAGCCAUGUCUGUUGAAUGGACAGACCAAAGAAACUUCACAGUAGAAAGGACUGUUUCAGCUCUUGUCAGUGCCUCAGGGUAGAAUCUGUGACAGGACCCACAGCAAGACUGAUGGCCAUGGCCCCUGCCCCCUCAAGAUAAAAUGUAAUGCCCAAGAAGUUUUUAGGUGUUUCCAAGAGUUGUUACUAUAUGUUUUACAAUAAUCAAGCCAUUGAAGAUUUGGAGCAACAUGUCAGAUACGAGGCAAGAACAUUAAAGUAAGCAUUAUGCACAUCUGUUACUAUAAAAGAAAUCAACUCUGCUAUUUUCAAAGUAUUUUCAUUAAAGUGUCAUAGAUAGAUAAUACGACCAAAAGAGACUGCAGAAACUAUCAAAACAUCAAAAGCAGAAUCAACUGAUUUUAGAAAUCUCCUUUUGAAGCUGGAAAGUUAAGUUAAAAAUAAUAAGAAAAUUUCUUAAUCAAAAUACUUCAGGAAUAUUUUUGUAACAUAAAAAUAUGUUAAAAUAUAUUAAUAAUGCAUAUUAUUAGUCAGAUUAAAUUUUAUAAUCUUAUAACUACUGUAUAUUAUGCCCAGUGGUUUAGUAAAGCAAAGACAAACAGGAAGCAAUCUUCAAUUUCAUAUUUCACAUAUCUAAAUGUGAGAAAUUUUAAUUCAGUCAUUAGUCAAAGAAACUUAAAAAGCCUAUGUAGAAAGUAUAAGCACAUACACAGAGAAAUGCACUAAAAGCAUAAAACAGUAAGAGCUGACCUAAUUCUCUCCAAGAGAGGAGAUUGUUUCUCAAUAUCUCAAUAUCAUGCCAGAGUUUAAAGAAAAAAAGGCCACUCUCAAUAAAUAGACAAUGCUUGCAAAAAAUUUAAUGGGCUUCAAUAAAAAUUUUAUAGGAGUACUCAUAAUUCUUUUUUUUAUACACAGGCUGCAAGUAAAAAUAUGUUUCUCUUCUACCUCAUGAAACAUUAGGAUCUGGCCUUGAAAGAUAAUUGUAUAAGAACUCAAGUUUUCAUGCUUACGAGCAAAAUAUGUGGUAUUUUGCUAACAAUUACAAUGAAAUCACUGAAGCCAAAGAGAAAAGCAUAGAAUAUCUGGGAGGUUCUUAGGAAUUGACAACACCAUUCACUUCAGAGUGAUGAUUUUACUCACGGAAAUACAGAGGAAGAGUCAUUUUCAUGAGGACUUUACUGCAAUAAUAAUAUAGCAGUGGCAAUGUGAUGCUCACAAUCUAAAGACAUUAAAGGAGUAUAAAAUGUAAAAUUUGCAGCAAAGUAGUAAAAAUAGCUACACUUUUGCAGGGUUUUCUACUCUAAGGACUUUUCCAAAGGUAAAACAGUGUUAUCUUAGCUCCUUAUUUAAUUGUUAUAACAAGAUCACGAUGGAGGAGGAAUAAACUGAUGAGAAUGAUGACUGGAAGAGACAAUUAUCAGUGCUUAUCAGAAUAGUUACAAGUGAUAGCAAGCAUACUGUGCCAUGGAUCGACCUGCGUUUGAUGGAGAGCAGUCCGUUUCUUCCUACAAUAACCCAGUGAAGCAGUGAAGUUAGGUACUAAUCCUAGACCCCUCCCCGUAACAGAGAGGAGGAAACAGGAGGGAAGCGACUGGCUCCAGGUUAUUCAGCUGCUAAGCACUAAGGCAUGCAUUUCAUGGCAGACCUGCUGCCACCCUGCCCUCCUCUAUACUAGCUGUUAAAGCAGCAACUGUAUAUACCAAACAAGACGAAAGCCCCUGGAGAGUAACCCAGCUUAAAAAUUCACCAGUUACCUAUUACAUGUUGGAAGAUAAUAAUAAUGAUGUUAAUUGUACCCAACACUUGGAUUGUGUUUACGACGUGUCAGGCAGUAUCCUAAUCAUGAUUAUAACAUCUAGUUACAGUUAUUUUACGUAUGAGGAAAUUUCAGCAUGGAAGGUUAAGUAGCUGGCCCAAGAUCAUUCACUGAGUAAAUUACAGAGCCAUGGUUUGAACCCUGGGAUCCAAUCAAUUCCUCGUAAUGAUAGUAGAAAAAGCCUUUCACCUAGAUUCCUGUAUCGACUAAACCCAAAUAUCCUUCCACUGACUCCCUAUGUCUUUUGUAUACAUCAGACAAAAUGAUCUUUGUGAAAUGUAAAUCUGAUGAUAUGAUCCCACUGAUUAUACCCUCCCAAUGGCUCCUCAUAGCUCUUCACAUAAAUAAGACACUAGAAAGCCCUACACCAUCUGGCUUCUACCUACCUUCCUGGUCUCAUUUUCCACUGAGCUCCCCAUCAUCCUCUGCUUCAGCCACACUGCCUUUCUUUAGUCUCUCUACAUACCAUGCUCUUCCUGCCACAGGCCCUUUGCAUAUGUUAUUCUUUCAUACAGAACUCUAUCUCCACCUCUUUUCAUUUUUCACUUUUCAGCUCAAACAUCCCUUCCUUGGGAAAAAUGUUUCCUAACCCCAAUACACACACACACAAUCAGAUUGCCUCAAUGUGUCUUCUUUUCAGUAGUCAGGGAUAGGGAGUGAGGAAGUAAGACAGGGAAGGGAACAAAGCCAACAUAGUCUACAUUAAUAAACCGUUUACGAGUGUGAGGAAUUGGGGCUCCCUCUUUUAGGGUCCACUGGGAGACUACGUGGAACACUUCUCGGAGUUGUCCUACCUGAGGGGUGAAGAAACUAUGGAGUUUCUCUGCCAACGCCCAUCCAUAACUGGUUGAAGACCGCUCCUGGGAUGUUAACUUUCAAUCAUUUUCAGUCUGUUCCACACACAAGUCAAGCACUUUCUUACAGCCAGCGGAAUUACUCAGGCAAAGAGCUGACAGACAUUUUCAGUAAGAAGCCAUCCAUGUGUCUAAGUAGAGUUAGUGCCAGGGAGAUGAGUGUCAACUCAAAGCGUCGCUACUGUCCACCUCUUGUAACACUCAGGAUCCAAAUUAAGUGGAGUCAAUCCUCAGUCUUAUCACAGAUAUUUGAAAUGCAUAACUUGUCACAAUUU
rnacentral:lncRNA from 1 species